rnacentral:rRNA from 1 species
ACCUGCAGCUCUAUCACCCUGCAGCUCCCAGCUGGCAGCCCCACUGGAGCUCAGCAGGUGUGAGCCUGGUCAGUACCUGGAUGGGAGACUCCUGGGAAAGCUCAGGUUGCUGCUGGAA